rnacentral:lncRNA from 1 species
AAAUCUUAAAAAUCCUCAUUGGAAUUAAAAUUCUAUUUUCUAAGACCUUGACCUACUUUAACCUCAAUAAUCCUCAAUUCAGUCAUUAGAUCAAGAUAAGAUUUACAACACAUAUUAAGCACAACUAUAACCAUUAAUCCACAAAAUAUCUUACAUAAAUCUUUUACAAAACUCUCGAAAUCACCAGAAAUAUUAAUCCUAUUCUAUUUCAUAAAAUUCAAGUCAUCGAAAUACAAAUUUGACUUUGUAAAGCUCUUACAAAGUUAAUAUGAAUCCAAAUCACCCAAAACCAAUGCUUAUAGUAACCUUAUUUAAUCUGCUAUCAAAUUCCACUCUCUAAUCUGCAAAAGAACCUCCAAAUUGCUAUAUGUACUUGGUUUUGUACCUCAAGGUUUGAUUUUGAUCCAAGUUGAUAACCGACCCUCCUUAGAUAUCAAUAUCUAGUUAUUUAGGUAAUUUUUAUUAGAAUUUACUCUUAACUUCUUUCUAAAGAUGCCUAUAUCUUUUUUUUUCAAUCUACUUUAUUUUGCUUUAUUUAUGGUCGUACAAAGUAAAUAGAAGUCACCUUUCUAAAAAGGCAACAUUGGUACCUUUUAGUUUUACUACCCUUUUGACUAUUAAUUAUAUUUCUAAGAUAAUUUUCUCUAAUACUUUGAACUAAGAUCUCUUACAUUAUAUUAAUUUCUACACUCUUUCACCUAUUAGUCAUAUUAUAUCAUAACAUCCACCCUCCUUGAAUCUGUGCAUCUUCUGACAUGUGCCAAAAAUUCUUCAAUAUGUUGAUGUAGAAUGUUCUUCAUCUUGGUCUAAUUCUCGACCUUCAAUAUGUUCUUCUAUUCCAAUCUCAAUAUCUUGUAUUGGAGUUUUUUUUGCAUAAAAAUAAAUAUCUUUAUUUCUUUUUUUAAAUAACUUUAUUUGUUUGCUUGCUAUGAGUACCUUCAAUUCUAUAUCAUCAAGUUCUUGUAAUAAAUAUGUUUCAUUUUUAUAUGCCUUUUUGACAAUAUAAAGCCGAAACCAUCUCUUUGUAAGUUUCUUCAUAGUGCUAUGUUGAUUGUCUAAGUU